ACCCAGCUGACGAGUCCCCAAAUAAGACGAAACAUAUGUCCUGAAU
rfam:Schistosoma haematobium scaffold455_2, whole genome shotgun sequence.